AGUAAACUAUAUAAACCCCCGCGAUUACGAUUACGUAAAUUAUUAAUUUGGCUGUGAUAGCAGAGUAAACUCUUAUUUGUUUCCCAGGACUGUAAAUCUACCGCCUUAAUACUGGCACCGUAAUUUAUUUAUUUGUAUUACGUAGAGAAUCUUAAUAUACACUAAUCGUGAUAUAACUAUCCCUGUUUACCUUAUAAGAGUAAACAACACUGGCUAUCAAGACAUUUACAUUGGAAUAUUCACACACAAAACAGACAUGAAGCCGACGUAUUUGAUGGUCCUUGGGCUGGUGCUGUGUCUUUCUCUUCUGGUAACAGAAAGCGAUGCCCGAUUGUCAGCCAGACUUAUGGCAAUGAGACACAUCCGCCGACCAUGUGAGACAAAGUGUUUGAGGUCCUACUACGUGUGCCGACGGACCUGUCAGAGAAGUCGAUGGUGUUUCUUCUCUUGUCUGACCAGAUACAGGAGAUGUUCAUCAGCACGAAUCUGUUGAAAAUGUGUAAUCGCGAACUCUGUAACAUGUAUAUAAACAGUAUCAGAACUGUUCUUGAUUCCAACACAGCCUGCAUACACCUAACGCUAAUUAACGAAUGUUGAGGAAAUGAUGAACUGCCGAUAUAAGUUAAGGCGUGUUCUCUCCUAACAUGCCAGAACCCUAAACUUACAACAGUUAAGAUCGAGGUGAACAAUGCAGACGAAGACUAUUUACAUCAUUGUUGUUUUUCUGAUAAUGAAGCAGAGAUGUUUGGAAUGAUCGCUUUCAUGUCCUGACAACUUCCUUGUGAUUUUCCUGAGAAACAUUCAUGAAAAUGCUAAUAGGACAAAAGUGCUUGAUUCGCUUAAUAUUUGCCAUAUCGUUGUAAAAUUUGAUGGUGAUGGACUGUGUUUUGACAACCGUAAAUGACAUGUGCUCAGCUGUAUCAUAGCUUAGAAAGCUUGAAGAAAUAUGUUAAAUAUUUCGCUUGUAAUUGUGAUUACAAUGAAAAUCAAUAACGAAAAUAAAUUAUUCCAAAGUUGAGCGAUAUAUUAUUUUAUUUAAAUUUCGUCUUUGAUAUCAGGAGUGACCCCUGGCUCUAUCAGCAGCUGAUAUUGUAACAUCUCGGAAGAGUCAGAGCGCAAUGUGUCAUCGACAUAUGGAAAUGUACGAUACUGCGCGCUGUUGCUUAUUAAUUGCCUCCCGCAGCAUUUUUGCUAAUUCAAAGGUUUGGCUUCAUUACAAUAGGUUGUUUACUCGAAGUUCAGCAAUACCAGUAUCAGCAUGAAUAAUAUUGUCAUUUGAUUACAAUGAUGUUUGUACAGUUCAUCAUUCUAAUAGCUAUUUAUUACACACAUGUUAGGGAUAUACUUGUAUUUUGUUUGCUCUACAACUGAUCCAUAAUUUGUUAUCCUUUACGUUAAAUGUCAUCCGCCGUUAAUAGAAUGUAAAUGAUUUGGUGUCAACUUUUGUUUCAUUAUAUAACAUAAGAUCAAAUUUAUGUGUCAUAUGUCAAAUUUAUCUACCUCGAAUAAAUAAAAAUGCAAACCUAUGUAAA